rnacentral:lncRNA from 1 species
UUAUACACUUAAUUAUACCUUUUAAUUGGAGCUUUUGGUGUGUUUUUACGAUAAUUGGUGCUUAAUUUGGUUAUUAUUUGUAUUUUAGGUGCAAAUUGAAGAAUUGACAACUUUUGGGGUGAAAACUGCAAAUUCAGAGAAAAAGUGGGCCAAAAGUGAAAAAAUCAGAAAUCUGGAGAAUUAAAGACCGCACGGCCGUGCGGAUUUUAGUUCAAAAUCUCACACGGCCGUCCGGGCUGACGUGAUGGCGCAGUGGAGGGAACUCAAUUAUACAAGGAAACCCGCCCUAUUAGACUUUUGCACCCUAUUUAAAGGCCACAAGCACACAAUUAGACGGAUCCUAUCUUUUACCUUUCAUCUUUAUUUUAGUUUUUAGCUUUUAUCUUUCGACACGCAAUCAAGGAGCAAGAACGAAGACGAAGACUUGACGACUCUUCAUUAUAGUUCUCCUUUUUUAUUGUUUUUAUGAUUUUUCGUAUUUUCAUUAUGUUUUCCGUAACGAACAUGAGUAGCUAAGUUUUUAUUCUAGGAUUUUAUUGGAACCCUAUGUGGUGAUUCGAACCUCUUUUUCGACUUUUAUGCAAGUUUAAUUCUUCGAUUAUUU